UGGGGAAUUUUGGACAAUGGGCGAAAGCCUGAUCCAGCAAUGCCGCGUGUGUGAAGAAGGCCUUCGGGUUGUAAAGCACUUUUGUCCGGAAAGAAAUCCUUGGCUCUAAUACAGUCGGGGGGAUGACGGUACCGGAAGAAUAAGCACCGGCUAACUACGUGCCAGCAGCCGCGGUAAUACGUAGGGUGCAAGCGUUAAUCGGAAUUACUGGGCGUAAGCGUGCGCAGGCGGUUUGCUAAGACCGAUGUGAAAUCCCCGGGCUCAACCUGGGAACUGCAUUGGUGACUGGCAGGCUAGAGUAUGGCAGAGGGGGGUAGAAUUCCACGUGUAGCAGUGAAAUGCGUAGAGAUGUGGAGGAAUACCGAUGGCGAAGGCAGCCCCCUGGGCCAAUACUGACGCUCAUGCACGAAAGCGUGGGGAGCAAACAGGAUUAGAUACCCUGGUAGUCCACGCCCUAAACGAUGUCAACUAGUUGUGGGGAUUCAUUCCUUAGUAACGUAGCUAACGCGUGAAGUUGACCGCCUGGGGAGUACGGUCGCAAGAUUAAAACUUAAAUGAAUUGACGGGGUCAUAGCUGUUUCCU
rnacentral:rRNA from 1 species